rnacentral:rRNA from 1 species
CCUACGGGAGGCAGCAGUGAGGAAUAUUCCACAAUGGGGGAAACCCUGAUGGAGCGAUGCCGCGUGCAGGAAGACGCUUUUCGGAGUGUAAACUGCUUUUAAUAGGGAAGAUUAUGACGGUACCUAUAGAAAAAGGACCGGCUAACUACGUGCCAGCAGCCGCGGUAAUACGUAGGGUCCAAGCGUUAUUCGGAAUUACUGGGCGUAAAGCGUACGUAGGCGGUUUGGUAAGUUGGAUGUGAAAUCCCCCUGCUCAACGGGGUGGACUGUGUCCAAAACUACCUAACUAGAGCAUAGUAGAGGCAAGUGGAAUUUGCGGUGUAGGAGUGACAUCCGUAGAUAUCGCAAGGAACACCAAUGGCGAAGGCAGCUUGCUGGGCUAUUGCUGACGCUCAGGUACGAAAGCGUGGGGAGCGAACGGGAUUAGAUACCCCGGUAGUCCACGCCGUAAACGAUGAUCACUAACAGUAUGGAGAUUCGACCCUCUGUGUUGUAAAGCUAACGCGUUAAGUGAUCCGCCUGGGGAGUACGGGCGCAAGCUUAAAACUCAAAGGAAUUGACGG